CCCGCCGAGCAAGGUAUGUGUAGGUUUUCUGAUCUUUCUUUUGAUUUUUUGUUUUUCUCUUUCUUCUAACUGGCGUUAUCUCUUCAUCAGCCGGAAGCACAAGGUGGCCUCGGUGGAGCUGUCUCCCCUAAAGGCCGUGAAGAGGAGGGCGCAGUCGACCGCAGCGUCGGCGAGGCCCAAGUCGCCGCCCCCUUUGAACCGUGGGGAGGGCAAGCUCCACCAGGAAGGAGAGGGGC
rnacentral:lncRNA from 1 species